UAAGGAAUAUUGCUCAAUGGGAGAAAUCCUGAAGCAGCAACGCCGCGUGGAGGAUGAAGGGUCUAUGACUUGUAAACUCCUGUAAAGAAGGAAAAAAUUCCCAUUUGAUGGGAGAUGAUGGUACUUCUGGAGUAAGCCCCGGCUAACUACGUGCCAGCAGCCGCGGUAAUACGUAGGGGGCAAGCGUUGUCCGGAUUUACUGGGUGUAAAGGGUGCUCAGGCGGAUUUGUAAGUCAGUGGUGAAAGCCUGUCGCUUAACGAUAGAACUUCCAUUGAUACUGUAAGUCUUGAGUAUAUAUGAGGUGGCUUGAAUAAGUAGUGUAGCGGUGAAAUGCAUAGAUAUUACUUAGAACACCAAUUGCGAAGGCAGGUUACCAAGAUAUAACUGACGCUGAGGGA
rnacentral:rRNA from 1 species